GAGACCGGUCUCUCACAGACCGGUCUCCUCGAGAGGACCGGUCUCUGAGGACGACACAGUUUUUUAAAAACGAUUUUUUGCAAUCCUAGUCUACUUCUAAGUCUUCUAAACAUAUAAAUAAGCUAUGUGGGUCAUCUAAAAUUAAGGCUUUGAAUAUUUUACCAAUUCUAAACCCUAGAAACUCAAUUCUCUCCUUUUCAAUGCUUAGAUGAGUUUCUAGCAAUCGACAUCGGCUUGAUUCUUCGUUGUUACUCAAUAAUUCUUACGAGAAUCAAGUAGAUGUUUGAUAAAAGGUGAACUCCCAUAGCUUAUGGUUUUCAAAAGUUAAAUCACCACAAAUCUUCGAUUCUACAAGCUCCGGAAGGAGGUUCGGCGCGUGGAUCUCGUGUGAAGCCGAGGAUUCGGUGGACGCUUCGAGGAGUUGAGGCGUUGACGCUGCGAGGAGUUGCAGCAAGGUCGAUUGGUGGAUUCCUAUCGAUCGAGGACCGGCAAAGAUCACCAUCAACGAGAAAUCGGUAAAUUGAGUCGUGUGUUCUUGUCGAAAUCACUUGUACUCAAGUUUUCUUAGUGGAUUUUCUUUGCGUGAUCGGUCCCGUGGGUUUUUCACUCCGAAUUGGAGUUUUUCCACGUUAAAUUCUCGGUGUGCUGUUUUAAUUUUCGCUAUUUUGUUUUGUUUGCAUCGAGAUUUUUCGAGUUUGCCGGAUUUACACCUAUUCACCCCCCUCUAGGUGUUACUUACCUUUUAGAUCCUCGGGAUCCAUAUCUUUCAAGUGGUAUCAGAGCGGGUAUAGGUUGUAAUACAUGGCUGAGGGCGGUAACAUCAAUCGACCCCC
rnacentral:lncRNA from 1 species